GACGAACGCUGGCGGCGUGCCUAAUACAUGCAAGUCGAACGCAGUGGGGACGGGUGAGUAACACGUGGGUAACCUCCCAUCAGAGGGGAUAACACUUGGAAACAGGUGCUAAACCGAUACUGAUGGAUGGACCCGCGGUGCAUUAGCUAGUUGGUGAGGUAACGGCUCACCAAGGCCACGAUGCAUAGCCGCGCGGAGAGGUGGAUCGGCCAUACUGGGACUGGGACACGGCCCAGACUCCUAGGGGAGGCAGCAGUAGGGAACCUUCGGCAAUGGACGAAAGUCUGAGCGAGCAACGCCGCGUGAGUGAAGAAGUUUUUCGGAUCGUAAAACUCUGUUGUUAGAGAAGCGGUAGCUAACGAGAAAGCGACGGCUAACUGCGUGCCAGCAGCGCGGUAAUAC
rnacentral:rRNA from 1 species